CCGGCGGCUAUAACUAUCUUCUCUUUCCACAUCUGACUCGGUGCUACGGUCUCCUCAGGACGGUUCUGUUCAAGCUGUAUGUCUUCAGACCUUACCACUUCUCCUUCGUAAUCUACCCAUCCGUCCUUGAUGAUUUGCCUCCUCUGGUUUUGAUUGCGUCGCCUUCUUCGGAGGGGAAGUGCAUGUGGACUUCUCCGGUUCUAAUGAUGGCUUUGAUAGUGUUG
rnacentral:lncRNA from 1 species